GGAUUGCCUACGACGAGAAAAAAAAAACUAAAAAUCUCUGCUACGCAGAACUAGAAUGAAGUAUUUACAGUAGGAUGUUGCAAAGGUGGUCGAAAGAAACUGAAUCCCUUUGGAGCAAUCAUGAAUAGGAAAGGUUUAUUUCCAGUGUGCACGCUAUGUUGAUCAUAUUUAAUGGCUAGUUAACUUUACAAUAAUCUGGGAGGUAAUUUAAAGGAACGGUUUCUGAGCCUUCGAUAUUAAAGGGAACAUCCGCAGAGUGAGGGGAGCGAGGAAAGAAAACAGAAUACGAAAUUACAACACCGUCCGCCCUUCAACCCCGGUUUGGUUUUGCUUGUUUGUGUUUACGUAGCCCUUACUCCUUGCGAUGCAGAAGUAACGUUUAAAACAAACAGAACACUUUUUAAAACUUCAUCUGGUUCCGUUUUUUGAUACCACCAGCUUUUACAUUAAAUCGUGAAGAUUCGUUGGAGGCCAAGGAGAAGAUCCUUUAACGGGACGCUAAGAUGAAGCAAUGAAGCUGCAGACCAAGAGAGUCCACACCAAGCCUUGAAGAGAAAUGAGAAAGUGGACUCCCGUUCUGCAGAGAGGGAGUCAUCUGACAGAGACGGAAGUCAAAGAAAGAAUGGGGCUCGGAAUGAAAGAGUAUACCAUCCGGGAAGGGAAUAAACCAGCAGCUAAAUUGCUUUAGUCUGUGGGACGCAUGCACACUCGAUGUUGUCAAAGAAACUGAGUACAAAAAUACAGUCUUUAACCACAAGCCACAAAGAAGCGAAAAGAGUUUAAUCUGUGUGCUAUGCCAUUUCUCGCAGACACUUUGGGGUACUCUGAUACAAACUAAACCUAUCCUGUACCCUGUUUGUGGAGGCCAUUUUAAAAAAUAAAAGACAAUAACAUAAUUUUUGGAUUUAUGUAAUACUGCCUUUCAUGUACAAGAAGAGCAAAAAACCAAAGAGGACACAUGGUAAUAUUUCACGAUUUUACAAGUAA
ensembl:lincRNA